rnacentral:lncRNA from 1 species
UAAAAUAAUAGAAUUUUUUAAUAAAUUUUUUUUUUCCCCAAACAACUUAUGUUGAUCUUCACCACACGGGGGCCACGGUGGAGAGGAAAGUUCUCUCCGGGCACCCUAAAAAAUGUCCCGGGUAGACUUAGGAGAAAAGUAUUCCUCCGGUGUCGGGAGGUUGAGGGGGGCUAGGAUAAGCAGGGGCCUCGGGUUAGCCUGGCCCCAAGUGAGGCAUCCCUCCAAAGGGCUCCUGGGUGGGGCUCCCUUCCCGGGAGCUUCCGAAGGCUCUGCUGGUGGAAGAUGCUCUGCGGACGAAAGCCCCUCUCGUCCACGGUGGGCACUGGGAGAAGGGGACAGCGGCUGCCUGGGGUGUCCCACCCCAGCCUUGGGGUGGGAAAGAGUUAAUGGCCGGAGUUGGGGAGAACAGGGCUGAGCCACCAGACGCGUCCUGACUUCCGGGGGCUGCCCUGAGCCAACAGCCCAGGAGGCAGGGAGAGGCCUGGCCAGGCCGGGUCCCCUGGGAAGAGAGGAGAGGGGAGGGGACAGGAAGGCAGCAAGGCCGGGGGCGGGGCUGGGCGGGGAGGGUGACGAUGGCCUCUUCAGUCUCAGCACCGCAGUCAGAGGUGGUGGGGCGCCAGGAGCAGGAGGCAAAGCAGAGGGGUGGGCAGCCCGGCCGAGAGCGCGGGGCCGCGGGAGUCCGGGGGCGCCUGGCAGGCAGCGCCCGGGCACGUCUGCUCCCCCCGCUGGUCCUCGCCCCCGUAGCCCCCCCAGUAGUCGUCCUCUGUGGGCGCGUCCCCGCCCUGGCGCCCCCGCGGGUCUUCGGCGGGCAGGUCUCGGUAGAGGGUGGAGGGGUCGGCGGGGGGCGCCCCGGCCUCGGCCACCCCGUACAGGUGGUUGGACGAGCUGUUGCCGCGGGCGCGGCUGCCGGGCCGCGUGGGCGCGGCGGGCGGGCAGGCCUGGAAGUCGGCGUCGCGGAGGGCGCGCAGGUCGCGGCCCUGGCGCUCCGGGGGGGUGGCGCAGGUCACGUCGGAGCUGG